ACACACACACACUGGAAGAACUGUGGAAAAAACACUGGAGUGAAUUUAACCUGGAACCCUAAAAUAACAAGGAAAAAGACACAAAAAGACGCCCUUCCCAAAUGUGAACCAGCAAACCUGAGAACAAUUGUGCUCAGCCAGGAGACGCAGCCUCCCCGCCGCCCACCUCCAGCUUCAUUUUCGGACUGUGGAAAAAAAAAACCCUCAGUGACUCGGCUGGCGUUUAGCCCUCGUUGACCUUGUGACUUUCCUCGAUCAACUGGUUCCUGUUUUUUAUCAUGUGGGUUUUUUGGACUGUAAGGUGUAGAUGUUGCUCUCUUUUUCUCUCUUUCCUCACCGAAUCAUUCCCAGUUUCAUAUUUGAUCUACUUGAUGUUUGAUUACUUGAAGGGCAGUGUUCAGUCGCCUACAUUUUUCUACCAGUCAGUGUAAAAUGAAGGUUGAGGGGAAGAAGACUAUGUGUCCGGGUGGUUGUGAAAUAUGUUUGUGUAAAUCUUUUUUAAAGGUGAGGACGAUGAUGUACAGGGGCAACAUUUUGAUUAAAAAAAGGAUUGUCGUCAUGGACUUUGGACAUUUUAACAGGUUUUGAAGCUGGAAAUACUUCCUGCAAAUAUGAGAAAUACCUAGAUCCAGGAUACUUUUCUUUCUUUGUUUCCGUUUGUUUUGCCGAAAGAUGUCCACCUGCAUUUCCUCAAAAUGUUGCUGUUGUGCCAUCUCCUGCAAGGAAAUCUCAAAAAACCAUUUGGGGGUUGUGUCCAUUCCUCAGCCAUACGACAGGCAUUUUUUACGCUGUUUGUUGCACAAAACUUUUCAAGAAGCCUUCUGCACUGUGUAAAGAGAUAACGUUCUUAGUAGGGGAGGAAACAAAGGGGAGAGGGAGGGGUGGGGGUGUCCCAGUGGUACAGUCCAAUGGUUUUGAAUCAUGACUUGUAAAUAGUGCGUUUUCAUACUGCAAAAAAACUUUUUGAUAAUGUUUUAAAUGUACCUUGUAAAGAGAAAAAAAAAGAUGUACAUAAACUUCUGGGGUAAAAAGGAGUGUAGACUAUAUAUGAAUUUAUUUGUACACAAGAACACUGGAUUUCUUUACUACUUGAUUGUAACUAAAAAUUAAUAAUCUGCCAAAGUGUUUCUAUUUUACUUUCCCUCUGUCUGUUUCAUUAGAUUGUUUCCAUUUUUGUUUUUACUUUGUUAAUAGCAGAUUUU